ensembl:lncRNA
CAAAUUCCCUCCCUUCUGCUUCAUAGUUACCGUACCAAAAUGAACCAACGAAGACGGAGGACUACUCUAAGAUGUCUUUUGCAAAUUUAAAAUUGACGCCGUCGCAUCAGUUGGUCCUGCGGGCCUCUGAUGCGGCGGCAGCCUUCACCGCCGCCAUGGGGCCACGCGGGACCCAGGCUCCCGCCAGGGCCAAGAGGCCGGGGGAGGUGGAGAAGGAGGCCCAAGCCCGCGUCGUCUCCGGGGGCGGUGACCCUGGGAACCCCAUGCUGGUGCUGGGCUGCCACAGCAUCCAGCUGGGGAAGUACCAGGGUCAGACCUUCCGGUGGCUCCUGGAGAACGACGCGGGCUACGCCUGUCACCUGGUCGCCAGUCACCAGCGGGAGCGGGAGACUAGUGCCUCGGACAGCCCGCUCAUGGCCAACAAGGACAGCCUCGCCCGCUACUCCUGCGCC